UACGAAGGGGGGCUAGCGUUGUUCGGAUUUACUGGGCGUAAAGCGCACGUAGGCGGAUCGUUAAGUCAGGGGUGAAAUCCUGGAGCUCAACUCCAGAACUGCCUUUGAUACUGGCGAUCUUGAGUCCGGAAGAGGUGAGUGGAACUCCUAGUGUAGAGGUGGAAUUCGUAGAUAUUAGGAAGAACACCAGUGGCGAAGGCGGCUCACUGGUCCGGUACUGACGCUGAGGUGCGAAAGCGUGGGUAGCAAACAGG
rnacentral:rRNA from 1 species